rnacentral:lncRNA from 1 species
UAAUGUACUAAUGUCUCCCUUUACACAUUCUGAACUUUAUCUUGACUAUGGUGCAAUUAGUUAUUAUUCAAUACAAUGCAUUAAGUUAGUUAUGCCUUUUUCAUCACACUUUAUCAUUAUUUAGACAAAAAUAUGGCAGGUUCAUAAUAUUUAUGUGUGAUUGCAGACUGUUUAGCUCUAUUGGAUAUUAGUUUCACGGAGGUGUAAGGAAGUAAUAUUUCAGUUGUCAGAUUGGUUUAAGCUUAUAAUCAGGUACUUUCUACCACUUGAUGUCCAAAUUAUGAUAGGUCAUAGGAGUCAUGUCGUUUAAGGCUUUAGUUGUAAGUUGCUAGGUAUUGUCCCUAUAAAACUGAUAAUGGAAUUCCAAUAUACAAUAUUCUGUUUUGUGAGACUAAAUGAAGUUUGUUUGAAGUCAAAAUUGUUUAAAUGUAUUUAGUAUCUAAUAUGAGUUUGUUUUUGUUUUUUUUGACAAGCAAGGUUGAGGGGACCUCUACCCCCUUUUCAAUUACGUGAGAAAACUUUUAUCAACAAUCUGCUGCUGAUGUGUUUCGAACCCACAACCUUUCCGCUUUUGUGAGAGGGCUGCUACCGUUGCGCCACAGGCUCAUUCACAUCUAAUAUGAACUAAUUUGGAGAACCUCAAGGUGUUUGAAAAGGUAGAUUACAAUUUUCUGUGUCUUUUUUUUUUUUUUUGUUCCCCUUUUAAUGGUUUUGUAUGUUUGUGGGUGCUAUAAUGGUGCCAAAAAACUAAUACAGUAUAUUACUCAGAGAAUAUAUAUUGAAACAAUGAGUAGGUCUUGGGGCAGUUAUUACUAAAUAUAUUUUGUAGCCACUCAAUAACACACUAAACAUUCAAAGUUUUGAAGAAGUUAGUGCAAGAGAAAACAUAUCAUCUUGAGUGUGAGCGAGAGUAAGUGAGGAAAGAGAAGCCAUAGCUAGCUAUAGUCUCUCGGAUAUAUAAGUAAGUGGUACUAAAAUUGUUCUUCAUUGCCCGGACCUAAAUCAAAUAAAUUUGUAAUAGUUUGACUAGGACAAAUGACAAUCAUCCCAUUAACAACUUUUUCUUUUAGUUCCACAGUGUAGUUCUCUUUCAUUUCUCUUCGAAUUGCUCUAUCUUCUUCUCAAUUUUUUAAUAAACUAGGGGAAAUUAAAGAACACUUAAAAGUUGAAACAACAGUCUUCUUAUUGUAAAUAAAACUCAAGUGAAUUAUAAUAUCCAUCAAGGCCGGAUGUCUAAAUCAUAAUUGAGGAGCUAGAAGUUACACCCGUGAUCUUACAUUUGGGAGCAAAUAGAACACUUAUCAAUGGACGCUUCACAUCUUCAUUUUUAUAUAAGUAUUGGUCAGCGAUUGGUACUUUUUACAAGUUCUGACUAUUUCUUAUUGCUAACUUUCAAGGACCUGCCUAUGGAAUUUGAUCUAUUGGGUGGGUGUAGAAUACAAGCAUUUGUCCUGAUUCUAAAAACUUCAUAUGGGGUGUUCUUUUCCAUGGUAUAUGUUGGGGAACAUGAAUGGAAAAAAGAAGAGAUUAUUUGAAAGGUUAAACUAUGCCAUUGCCCUAAAUCAUUUAAAUGGAACUGUUGGGUCUUAUAACAUUAUGGUUGACAGAUAUGCAAUUUGUAUUGUCCACAACUUUUUUGUAUUGCUACUGGUAUGGCUUCAAAUUCUUAAAUUUUCACGAAUGCAUGCUUUGAUUUCAGUACAAAAUGAACGAGUCUUAUUAGAUUGUCAAUCGAGAUUUUCAGAUACACUUUGGUCUGGAAAACAAAGUGAAUAAAUGAUAGAAGAUAAUUUGUCUCUGCUUUAUAUCAAUCUUUGUGUCUUAGAAAGUAUUCUUGGGUAAUUCACACCAGGUCUGGGCAAUGUUCUAGGAACAGAGCAAUGCUGAAAUGCUACUGCGAUCAUGGUCUAAACUGACCUCAAAUGGGUUUAGUGAGUGCAUAUGAUCUAUACUACCUUCUGCCACUAUGUGGGUAUUAUAAAGCAUGUGCAAUGAUUCAAUUUUUUGGCAUUGCAGGAUUAUCAUGAGAUGGCGCAGUUGUAAGGUUUAACGAAACAAUGUGGUGUUGGCUGGAAAUGAGCAAGGAAAGCCUGCAACAAAUGACAACAACCCGGGUUAAAUGAACUAAGGGCUGACUGGGAGACCCUGUUUCACUGAACAUAUAGCAACAACGGUUACAUAUAAGUGACAUAUAGGAAGGAUUCAAUCUUGGCAACAACAAAGGGGAGAUACGCAAAAGGCAACAAUGGGAUAACAAGGCAAACGAGCAACCAGGUGUAGCCAUUGCAAAGGGGAGCAACAAUAUGCAUAAUAAAUAACUGUGAACUGAAGUCUGACAAGAGACUUGGGAUUACUAGGAGCUGCAGCAGAUAUUUCUGUUAGUCAAAUAGGUUAUACGUGUUUUGUAUAUUUGUCUUACGGGCAGAGGAUUUUUGUUUCUAUGUUUUAAAAAUGUGAAAAUGGAGCUGUGUCUUUGUGGGUACUUUGAGUACGCUGCUCAAGAAUGUAAGUUUGUUUUUUCAUAUAAAUAAAAAUUUUACUUUCAUCAUAUAAAAAUAAAAAGAU